GGAAUCUUGGACAAUGGGGGCAACCCUGAUCCAGCCAUGCCGCGUGAGUGAAGAAGGCCUUAGGGUUGUAAAGCUCUUUCAACGGUGAAGAUAAUGACGGUACCCGGAGAAGAAGCCCCGGCUAACUCCGUGCCAGCAGCCGCGGUAAUACGGAGGGGGCUAGCGUUGUUCGGAAUUACUGGGCGUAAAGCGCGCGUAGGCGGGCUGUUAAGUCGGGGGUGAAAUCCCGGGGCUCAACCCCGGAACUGCCUUCGAUACUGGCAGCCUGGAGUCCGAGAGAGGUGAGUGGAAUUCCGAGUGUAGAGGUGAAAUUCGUAGAUAUUCGGAGGAACACCAGUGGCGAAGGCGGCUCACUGGCUCGGUACUGACGCUGAGGUGCGAAAGCGUGGGGAGCAAAC
rnacentral:rRNA from 1 species